rnacentral:lncRNA from 1 species
UAGCCCUACAUAACAGUGCAAUAGACAACACUGCCAUUACUCGAUUCUUAAACAUCUCGAUGCAAUACAUCAGGAAGCGUAAUAAAAACCCCCAAACUCCUCUAGCAUUAUAUUUUAAUUGUAUUUGAAGAUCUUGACAUGUUUGUAUCUUCAGUGGAAACACAAUUUCACAUGUAGCAGGGUCUUGUGAAAUACACAGAGUACAUAAGAAGCCUUUAUUUACUUCUGAUUGGUUCCACAGGGUUAAGUCAUAUAUUGCUCCAAUAUCAUCUAUAAAUGAGUAAUUGUUCAAAGUACUUCAGUUCCCACUGCUGACCUUUGACAUUAAUUUUCUCCCUUCAGAAUAGGCAACAAUUCGCCGCUUUCUUUUAGUUCCUUAACAAUAUCCAACCCUCCAACAAGUUCACCUUUCACGUAUAACUGAGGAUAUGUUGGCCAGUUUGAAUAGGUUUUUAAUCCUUGCCGCACCUCUUCAUCCUCCAGUAUGUCAAAUGUCUCAUAAUCAACACCAGUAUUGUUUAUGAUUUCUAUAAUUUGCUUGCUGAAUCCACACCUUGCAGUCUGUUUGUUUCCCUUCAUAAAAAGCAUUACAGGAGCUUUGUUUAUCAAGCUUUUAAGCCUGUCCUCUAACUUCUGUGCCUUCGGACAGACUGCGUCCAGUUCUCCAGAAGCCUCAAGUUCCUUGAUAAUAUCAAGUCCACCUAUUAGCUCUCCAGCUACAUACAACUGUGGAUAAGUUGGCCAAUUAGAGUAUGUUUUCAGCCCCUGACGAACUUCUUCAUCAGAAAAAAUAUCAAAACUGCUAAAUGAAAUACCGUGUUUGUUCAGUAUCUCCACCAUCUGUUUGCUGAAACCACAGCGAGGUUCUUUUGGAGACCCUUUCAUAAACAGCAUGCAAGGGGCAGCAUUGAUGAGUUUCUUCAGACGCACAUUAAGAUCUUCUUUUGCAUUGUCAUUAGAGCCAGCAGAAACAGAAGUGCUGGACGCGUGGCGCUGGACUUUUUUGGUCAGCUCUGGGGCAUGUGCACCAUCUAAUCUGUCAACUUUCUGAGAGUUCUUAAAGAAUAAGAACGUUGGAACAGAACUAAUUUCAUAUUUUUCAGAUACUUCAGGCACAGCUUCAGCUUCCAGCUGCACAAAUGUAACCUGCACGUGUUCCUUUGCUAGAGUGGCCAUAACCUCAUUCAUUUGAGCACACUGGGGAGCCCAUGGUGCCCAGAAGUGGACAACUACAAGUGCUCGCUCCUUCUGCUGCAGCAGCUGCUGGAACUGCUCGGCGGAGCCCGCCACCACCACCUCCCCCGCCGCCAUAGCCGCGCCGCAGGAAGGAGGAGCGGCGUGAGGUCACGUGGGGGCGCCGGCCGCGCAGGCGCAGACGGGGCCGCGCUGCUCGCGCAGGUGCUGCCCGCCCCUCCGCGCAUGCGCCGCGAGGCUGAGGCAGCGGCGGGGGGGGCGUCCGUCAGUCAGAGGCGCGGGGCGGAGCUGCGCGCUGUGCCCCUCUGAGAGGCUUUAAGGUGAGACCUGCGCUUUCGGUCAGCGGUGUGUCUAAACGUGGAAACGACCGAUAUCCGUAAAAGGCCCUUGUUUGUGAAGCGGUUCUGAAAUUGAGACCACUGAAAGAUCUAAUAUACCCUUAUCCUGAUGCUGUUCAAAAGAUGCUUACGAGCCCUCCUGUGCUGUUUUCAUCGUGGGCUACAUUGCCAAAAAGAAACGGAUAAGAAACGUGAUCCUUCAAGAUGAACGCCUUCCAACGCAGCCUGUGUCAGCCACAGCCGCGGCGGAGAAUUUAAAGCCUCGUUCCUUAAUAAGGCUCGCAUUUUCAAGGUUCAUUUGGAAGGUAGAAACAAGGAUUGCUGUUAAAAAUGUAUAGGCCCACCGAGACGCCAGAGACCUAAAUCUCCCUAACACGAGGCCGUAUUUCUGGGCAUCCCAUAUGGAGGAUUUGGCAGCACGGUCCCAGGGAAACCCAGGGCUUCAACGACUCCAGAUUGAACGGCAGGCAGCGGGCCAAAUUAAUCUGGCAGGGCUCCCACGGUGCCCAGUUGAUCUACUGCUCACCUCCGGUUGCAAAGGGCUCGGUUACAGAGGCAAUAUGCAAGUCUGGGAGCCACAAAAAGGGGAGGCAUGGUGCUGCUCACAUUGCCGGCCCUGCCUGAGGAGGUUAGUUAGCAAAAGAAUGGCCUGCUGGCUUUACAUGUGCUAGUUACCUUAUUUCAGAGCCCCUGCGAAGUAUUCAGAAUAGAUACAAGCAAUGUUUCUGUAUAGAAAUAGCCUUUAUUGGUGUAUGUACACUGUACAAUAAGACUAAAUAGCUUUAAAAUAGGAGCCAGGCACAGGACACUGAAAGUGGUAAGACUGGAUGUCAUAACAGAGUCUGAAUAAAAUAUUUAAUGAUAAGCAAAGAUAUGGCCUGACGUUAUAUCUGGACUUUGGGAUGCAUGACACAAGAUUAAAAAGACUAAAAAAAAAAAAAAAAAAAAAAAACAAACCUGAAAGUAUCACAGAAUGUAUAGAUUGGAGAGAUUAAGAGAUUUUGUAGUGUGAACACUAUGAAACUAAGAGCAAAUAUUCUCAGAUAAGUUCAGGUUGUGGAUGCCCCAUCCCUGGAGGCAUUCAAGGCGAGGCUGGAUGUGGCUCUGGGCAGCCUGGUCUGCUGGUUGGCGACCCUGCACAUAGCAGGGGGUUGGAACAAGAUCGUAAUUGUGGUCCUUUUCAAGCCAGGCCAUUCUAUGAUUCUAUGAUUCAAAUAAGACAGAAAUUUGCCUUAAGAUGUGGCAACUCUUGGUGUAACAGCAGUGGGAAAGGGCUAUGACAGGUUACUAGAUUUCUUGAUUCAAUGUCAUUAAGAGCUGUACACACAAAAUAAAACAAAAAGGAGGAGUUUAACAUGGAAUCAAAUACAGCAGAUGUGGAACUACUGAUAUGUCUGUCUAGGAAAACAGUGAGAUUAGGGCAUCUGUUGAAAGCCUAAAGGUACCAGUUAGCUUUGGACCAAGGACAAAUGAAAGAAAGGACACAGCUGUAAGCACAGUCAGUGUUUCUGUAGCAGCACUCAGCAAGGUGUGAGAAGAAAGGGGCCGGAGGUGUGAAAGGUUUGUGAUUGCUGAAUCUAUUUACUAAGAGUAAACAUGAACACAAGAAAACACUUCUCACUGUGAAUGAGGUGACACGUUGGAGCAGACUGAACAUUUUCUUAUUCAGGAAAUUAUUUGUGGAGGGAGAGGACUACGUAAUAUUAAUUCUGUUCAAGCAGGUACCACUCAGCUCUGCACUUUGCAAGUCAGAA